rnacentral:lncRNA from 1 species
UUCUAAGACAGCACUAUACAUAAGAAAGGCGGUGGUGCAUUUUAAUACGCUGUUUUUGUGAGUACUCUAAUAAGUUUUAGAUUAAUACUAGCAAUCUUACUGUAUUAAAAUGGAAUCAUAAGAAGAUUAAAUAUAACAUGUCUUACUCAAAGUGGAAUAACGCUAACAUUCUCCUUCCUUUUGGAAAGUGACAAAAGUGAGCCAAAAAGAAGACGCAGUACCUUCAAGAAUAAACAUCAAAGAAAAUGGGUUCAUGUUGACCAGUGCCUUAUUUGAGAAUAAUGACGGAUGUGAUCACAGCCUUUCCUGAGGUAGAGACGUAAUGGUGCAGAG